GACGAACGCUGGCGGCGUGCCUAAUACAUGCAAGUCGAGCGGACGGAUGGGAGCUUGCUCCCAGACCGUCAGCGGCGGACGGGUGAGUAACACGUGGGCAACCUGCCUGUAAGACUGGGAUAACUCCGGGAAACCGGGGCUAAUACCGGAGAACUCUUUCCCUCACAUGAGGGAAGGCUGAAAGAUGGCAUCUCGCUAUCACUUACAGAUUGGCCCGCGGCGCAUUAGCUAGUUGGUGAGGUAACGGCUCACCAAGGCGACGAUGCGUAGCCGACCUGAGAGGGUGAUCGGCCACACUGGGACUGAGACACGGCCCAGACUCCUACGGGAGGCAGCAGUAGGGAAUCUUCCGCAAUGGACGAAAGUCUGACGGAGCAACGCCGCGUGAGUGAUGAAGGUUUUCGGAUCGUAAAACUCUGUUGUCAGGGAAGAACAAGUACCGGAGUAACUGCCGGUACAGUGACGGUACCUGACCAGAAAGCCACGGCUAACUACGUG
rnacentral:rRNA from 1 species